GCUUCUGUUUAUACUUCACUUUACAAACCCCUAUUUUUCUAUCUAUCUACCAGUACUUAAAAAAAAAAAGAAUAGUGUAUGUGUGUGAAGAAAAUCUGCAGCUAUCCCUUAAGCAUGCUCAAGCAUGCUCAGCCAUCUAUUGACAUUUUUUUUUUUGACUCCAGCUCCAGCAGCAUAUCUGCAAAAUUUUCACACCCGAACACCUUCAUUUGGUUUCAGUUUUCAACAAGCAAAUCUCAUUUUUUCAAAAGUACAGAUUUCCAGCCGCAGCAGCCGAUUUUCACUCACAAAAAUUCCACAUUCAUAGAUUUCAUUGUCGCAGAGACCCAUCUAUAAAUUCAUCCAAACACUUCAGCUCUAAAACAAGCAAAUUCUUAAACGCAGAGUUUUCUUUUGACAAGAUUCAGUGAAGGUAUUACACGCAACUUUCUUCCUUUUCAUACAUAGCAUUAUCCAGAAAUUCAACAUGAAUGAGAUCACAUAUGAUUUUGUUUACAGUUUACAGAAUUUGUAUACGCAUCAAAGCUUUCGCAAUAAAUCAGAAUUAGAAUUUGUAUCUCACUAGGAAUACAGAAAACCAAGUUUCAUUUCAAAAUCAAGUCUUUACAGUUGAGUUUUCCGAAAAUUAUUCAAAUUUACGAACCUAUCGUGAGUGAUAAAACGAGAGAGAAAGGAUGGUGGAUUGUCGGAGCUCUGCGACUCAC
rnacentral:lncRNA from 1 species